rnacentral:rRNA from 1 species
UACGGAGGGUGCAAGCGUUAUCCGGAUUCACUGGGUUUAAAGGGUGCGUAGGCGGGCAGGUAAGUCAGUGGUGAAAUCUCCGGGCUUAACCCGGAAACUGCCGUUGAUACUGUCUGUCUUGAAUAUCGUGGAGGUAAGCGGAAUAUGUCAUGUAGCGGUGAAAUGCUUAGAUAUGACAUAGAACACCCAUUGCGAAGGCAGCUUACUACACGAUCAUUGACGCUGAGGCACGAAAGCGUGGGGAGCAAACAGG